rnacentral:rRNA from 1 species
UCAAGAGAGAGGGUUCAUCGUCUAGGUAAUAUUAUCAAGCGGUGAGGAUCGCAUGUGUUCCAUAUGCUUUCGGAGAGUUGUCUGAAAGGACAGCACAUUCUAUUUCCAGCCAGGACAGGCACCAAGAGCGGAGGGUUGAGAUUUAUGACACUCAAACGGGCUGCUCUCUGGAAUACCAAGAAGCGCGAGGGCGUUCAAGUUUGUGAUUCCACGAUUUCUGCAUUUCACCAUUACUUAUUGCAAUCGUGGUUUUUUAAUGGUGCAAGGCCAAAGAUCCGUUGUGAAAGUUUAUUUUGUUAUAGCACUAAGCCCAAUACUUCUUCUACGACUACUAAGUGUUUAUGAUAACAUAGACCUCGAGACACAUGCAACAAAUUUGUCACUAAUCAAUCCCCCACGACUACAAAUGUGUGCACAGGUGGAUAGAUAAAGACGGCAGGUGUGCACAUACUCCAGGAGUAGGCUACAACCCCAACCAUGUUUUUUCAAUAAAUGAUCCCUUCUUCCGUAAGGGUACCUGCGGAAGGAUCAUUAUUGAAUAAACAUGGUUGGGUUGUAGCUGACUCCUUGGAGUAUGUGCACACCUGCCGUCUUUAUCUAUCCACCUGUGCACACAUUGUAGUCUUGGGGGAUUGAUUAGUGACAAAUUUUGUUGCAAUGUCGUCCUCCGAGGUCUAUGUUAUCAUAAACCACUUAGUAUGUCGUAGAAUGAAGUAUUUGGGCCUUAGUGCCUAUAAAACAAAAUACAACUUUCAGCAACGGAUCUCUUGGCUCUCGCAUCGAUGAAGAACGCAGCGAAAUGCGAUAAGUAAUGUGAAUUGCAGAAUUCAGUGAAUCAUCGAAUCUUUGAACGCACCUUGCGCUCCUUGGUAUUCCGAGGAGCAUGCCUGUUUGAGUGUCAUUAAAUUCUCAACCCCUCCAGCUUUUGUGGCUGGUCGUGGCUUGGAUAUGGGAGUUUUGCUGGUCUCAUUUCGAGAUCAGCUCUCCUGAAAUGCAUUAGUGGAACCGUUUGCGAUCCGUCACCGGUGUGAUAAUUAUCUACGCCAUAGACUGUGAACGCUCUCUGUAUUGUUCUGCUUCUAACUGUCCUGUAAAAGGACAACGAUAUUGAACUUUGACCUCAAAUCAGGUAGACCCCGCGUUCUC